CUCUGGUUAGUGCAGUCAGUAGAGCAUGAGACUCUUAAUCUCAGAGUCGUGGGUUCAAAUCCCGCAUUGGGGG